UGUUUGUGUUGAUCGUGAUUGUUAGGUUACGUUGUUGAUCGUAAAUUUGGAAUUGUUUGAAUGAUGGUGUUGAUGAUGAUGUGACACACUAACAGAGGAAGGCAGAUUCGGUGGUUCCGGUUCUGUUUUCUUCUUUCUCCUUAGUCGAAAGAAUUGCUGCAAAAUUCAGCACCGCCGCCAGCACCCUUCUUCUUACCGACAUUGUGUCUUUUGCUUGCAAUUGGGUUGCUCCAAGUUCGAUUCAUCAGUAUGGCUUGAUAAGAAUUGGGCUUUGGUUUGUUUAAAUUCAUAUAUUCAAGCUCUAUUACAAUAAAUAAGUGGAUUCUUGCUGAUCGCAACCAGCAUGUUUGGCAUCUAGCCAUCUAAGUGUGUUAUGCUGUGAGAUGGUUGAAGCAGCUGCAUCAAGACCAGGAAUCACGGGCCCUUGGAUCACUAAAUCAUAUCUUGAAAUGAUUCUGUCAUUGCAGCCAAUGUUAUUACCGAUCGAGAUUCCAUAAGGUUUUGAGGAUUUGGUUUUAUUAGUUUUACAUCAACUGACGCAGCUGAUAGCGCUCUCUGUUUCCCUGCAUAAAAACCUAAAUCAAAGAGACGAACUCUCAUCCAGAUCUGGAUCAAGAUGUAGAAGGCGAGCUGUGGUUGUUUUCUUCGAUAUCGUUGAAGAACAUAUACACUGAUCUUCAGGAUGUCGGGGUUUGCUUCUUCAAAGAUGAUAUACGCUGUUUAAGAAUUUGGAUGACCUGGAGGAAGAGGACUCUAUAGAAUUGAUAAGCUGCUGGCUACCAAUCUUUAAUGGGAACACAUCGUCAUGGAGUCAUGGCCAGUGGAGACCAAUCCUCACUCACAAAAGAACUCUUUCUUAGGUGUUGGGCAAUCAAAUGAAGUUCAAUGGGCAUUUAUUGUUAGUGAUUUAGUGAUACUACCAUAAUACAAAUUACAUCAUUUGAUGACCCAAAGAAAAAGAAGAAUAAAAGGUGUUCAUUCAAGACCCUGUUCAAAAGUUGUUAGUUUACCCUAACAUCUCAUUUUAAGACCUCAAGAUCACCACUAGGUAGGGUAUGGAGGGAUGUUGUAGCUCGAGCAAUGCAGGGUUGUCAUGCUCAACAUUUCUUAGAUUUUUGUGAGGCUUUACACAAAAUGGGUCGAUUCGUAUAAUGUGUUAUCUAGAAAAUGGGUGGUAAAACGUAAAGUAGGUAGUUGAACGGGUCUGGUUGGUUGCGUAAUGGAUUAAAUGAAUAACUUUUAGUACGGAUACAAAUGGGUCGAGUUGGGUGACCUGUCGAGAAUAUGUGUUCAUUUUUAUUGUUUUUUAAAUAAAUGAUGAAUAGAUAAGAUUGUAAAAGUAUAUUGAUUGCUUCCUCCUUCACGCCGCUUUCUUCUUUCGUCUUCCUUCUGUUUGAUUUGAAGUGAACCAAAUAAUUAGGGUUUCCACUUCUUGCGUUUGCGAUUGAAAAGUUACAAUUGUUGAUUUCGGAUAUUGAUUUAUAGCUUCAAACGAAACCUAAACAGCUUAAAGCUCCGAUGUUGACUUAAGGUGAACUUUUAUUUCUUUCGAUCAAAAAAGUUGGGAACAUAUAUACUGAUUAUCUUCUUCAAGAGAUUACGGGUAUUGUUUUCUUCAUUCCAUUGCUAGGAUUAGUAGAUUCAGUUUCGUUAGGUAAAAAUGAUGUGUUUGCUCGAAAUUUUUUGUUGUUUUGUGCAGUAGAAUGAAGGUCGAAAUUUUUUAUGAGGUUUUGUUUCGGAUUCGCAACUGCAUGCUCGAUUUUAGGAAAAAUAGGGUUUGAUUAAAUUUGUUAUUACACUUGCGGAGUAGAGGUCUGUUACAAACUGUAGAAACAAACAAGAACCGUCCAAACCAAAGAAAGGCAGCUGGUUUUGCCAAUUUAAAAUAUGUAUGGUUUUGUUUACGUAGCUAAUGGGUUUGGAACUUUGGAACUGGCUAAUCCAUUGUAUGAACUUUUUCUUCCAUGUAUAGGAUUCCUUUAGGAAAACAGAGAAUCUGACAUUGUUCUUUUACAUUUGGAUGGCAAAUGUCCUAUUUUUUAGCUUAAAAUGUUAUAAUAUGAUGAUCUUUAAGGAAUGGUAUAGCUCUUUCAAGUGAGUGUGCUAUCAAAACAAGCUGAAAUAAUCCGGAUUCCUUUUCCAUGAGGAAUCCUGAGGAAAUCCCAUGGGUGAAGCUUAAUCCGAAUAUGUUUUUCAUAGAUAAGGACAAAGUUGUACACAUUUGAAGGUGCAAAGAAGGUAAUUUUCGGUAGCUUCAUUUGGUUCGUUUCAUUGAUGAGGCACCUCAAUUGCAGGAGGCAGCAUGAUGAUUUCACUUUGUUGUGUGUUUUGUUACCAUUGAGUACUAAAUGGAAUACAUUUGGAUAGAGUUUUGAAUGUCAACAGUUCACUUAAAAGUAUUCUAUAUUCU
rnacentral:lncRNA from 1 species